UUUCUUCCUAGUCUAAUGGAAUUUUUUUUUUUUUUUUGCAGGGGCCACGGCCCCCCCAAGCCUCUACGUGGCUCCGCCCCUAGGUGUACUGACUUUAUUAUUUUAUUUGGUUAAUUAAUUUAUUUAUUUACUAUGUUUGUUGAUGUUUUAGUUUGCAUUAUGCUAAUGUUUCUUUGGGGAAUCCGAGUUUAUCAUUCUUGGUGGUGUUAGACACAGGCAGUGAUUUGUUCUGGAUACCAUGUGAUUGUCAGAAAAAUGGUUGCGUAAAGGCCUUACAGUCAUCAUCUGGAGCGGGGUAUGUUAAGUUAAACACAAAUUCUUCAUAGCAGGGAUGGGUUUUGGACAUUGGUUUAAGAAAAUAAUCGGCUCAAAGAAAGGGAAGCGCGGCAGUUCAAAACAAGUAAAGUUGGUUCUAGGCAGCCCAACAUGCAAAGACAUGGUCUUCUACUCCUCUUUAUUACGCAUCUAGACAACAGCAUCUUGGUUUUUUAUUUAGUAUGUAUGUAAAGUUGACUUAUAUGUAUCCUUCUCAAUUGCAUUACACACAGUAUGUACAAUUUUGAAGCAAGUCACAUAGUUUAUUAUUAUUAUUAUUAUUAUUGAAAAAUUUGAUGCAAA